rnacentral:rRNA from 1 species
ACCUUCGGGCCUCUUGCCAUCAGAUGUGCCCAGAUGGGAUUAGCUUGUUGGUGAGGUAACGGCUCACCAAGGCGACGAUCCCUAGCUGGUCUGAGAGGAUGACCAGCCACACUGGAACUGAGACACGGUCCAGACUCCUACGGGAGGCAGCAGUGGGGAAUAUUGCACAAUGGGCGCAAGCCUGAUGCAGCCAUGCCGCGUGUAUGAAGAAGGCCUUCGGGUUGUAAAGUACUUUCAGCGGGGAGGAAGGUGUUGUGGUUAAUAACCGCAGCAAUUGACGUUACCCGCAGAAGAAGCACCGGCUAACUCCGUGCCAGCAGCCGCGGUAAUACGGAGGGUGCAAGCGUUAAUCGGAAUUACUGGGCGUAAAGCGCACGCAGGCGGUCUGUCAAGUCGGAUGUGAAAUCCCCGGGCUCAACCUGGGAACUGCAUUCGAAACUGGCAGGCUUGAGUCUUGUAGAGGGGGGUAGAAUUCCAGGUGUAGCGGUGAAAUGCGUAGAGAUCUGGAGGAAUACCGGUGGCGAAGGCGGCCCCCUGGACAAAGACUGACGCUCAGGUGCGAAAGCGUGGGGAGCAAACAGGAUUAGAUACCCUGGUAGUCCACGCCGUAAACGAUGUCUACUUGGAGGUUGUGCCCUUGAGGCGUGGCUUCCGGAGCUAACGCGUUAAGUAGACCGCCUGGGGAGUACGGCCGCAAGGUUAAAACUCAAAUGAAUUGACGGGGGCCCGCACAAGCGGUGGAGCAUGUGGUUUAAUUCGAUGCAACGCGAAGAACCUUACCUGGUCUUGACAUCCACGGAAGUUUUCAGAGAUGAGAAUGUGCCUUCGGGAACCGUGAGACAGGUGCUGCAUGGCUGUCGUCAGCUCGUGUUGUGAAAUGUUGGGUUAAGUCCCGCAACGAGCGCAACCCUUAUCCUUUGUUGCCAGCGGUCCGGCCGGGAACUCAAAGGAGACUGCCAGUGAUAAACUGGAGGAAGGUGGGGAUGACGUCAAGUCAUCAUGGCCCUUACGACCAGGGCUACACACGUGCUACAAUGGCGCAUACAAAGAGAAGCGACCUCGCGAGAGCAAGCGGACCUCAUAAAGUGCGUCGUAGUCCGGAUUGGAGUCUGCAACUCGACUCCAUGAAGUCGGAAUCGCUAGUAAUCGUGGAUCAGAAUGCCACGGUGAAUACGUUCCCGGGCCUUGUACACACCGCCCGUCACACCAUGGGAGUGGGUUGCAAAAGAAGUAGGUAGCUUAACCUUCGGGAGGGCGCUUACCACUUUGUGAUUCAUGACUGGGGUGAAGUCGUAACAAGGUAACCGUAGGGGAACCUGCGGUUGGAUCACCUCCUUACC